rnacentral:rRNA from 1 species
UGGGGAAUUUUGGACAAUGGGCGCAAGCCUGAUCCAGCCAUGCCGCGUGAGUGAAGAAGGCCUUCGGGUUGUAAAGCUCUUUCGGACGGGAAGAAAUGGCGGGCUCUAACAUAGCCUGUCGAUGACGGUACCGUAAGAAGAAGCACCGGCUAACUUCGUGCCAGCAGCCGCGGUAAUACGAAGGGGGCUAGCGUUGCUCGGAAUUACUGGGCGUAAAGGGAGCGUAGGCGGACAUUUAAGUCAGGGGUGAAAUCCCGGGGCUCAACCUCGGAAGUGCCUUUGAUACUGGGUGUCUUGAGUAUGAGAGAGGUGUGUGGAACUCCGAGUGUAGAGGUGAAAUUCGUAGAUAUUCGGAAGAACACCAGUGGCGAAGGCGACACACUGGCUCAUUACUGACGCUGAGGCUCGAAAGCGUGGGGAGCAAACA